AAAACGUUGAUUAUGCUUGCAGGGUGGAGCUUAAAAGUAGCAAAAUUGUGUUAGGGGAGUUCCUCGAGUUUAAAGGAAAGCAGGAAGAUACCCUGGCUUUAAGAAAUAUCAAAAGAUCAAAAGUCGACCAUGUCUCUAUUCAGAAAACAAGCAUGUUUGGAUUAGCUCCUUCGAGGUUGCAGGUUCUGUACUCGUAUAGGGACUAUAGAAGUGAAGGCAGUUCAGGGGCAGAGUCUAAAGAAGUUACCGUCCGGUCGAGCACUGAGGCUCUGUUUCAGCCACGAGAGUCCACAAAGAUGAAGAAAUUCAAGCUAUCGUCUCUCGUCUCCAUUUCACUAAGUGCCUAACUAUGAAGUGAAUUUAAUAUUUUGCAGCAGCGGAAGGUUGUGUCAAUAUCUACUAUGUUAAUUACAUUGUCCAUGACCGAAUUAAGUUAUUAUUCACAAGAGUAUCAUCAACCUUUGUAUGUC